UGCAGUCGAACGGCAGCACGGAGCUUGCUCUGGUGGCGAGUGGCGAACGGGUGAGUAAUAUAUCGGAACGUACCCUAGAGUGGGGGAUAACGUAGCGAAAGUUACGCUAAUACCGCAUACGAUCUAAGGAUGAAAGUGGGGGAUCGCAAGACCUCAUGCUCGUGGAGCGGCCGAUAUCUGAUUAGCUAGUUGGUAGGGUAAAAGCCUACCAAGGCAUCGAUCAGUAGCUGGUCUGAGAGGACGACCAGCCACACUGGAACUGAGACACGGUCCAGACUCCUACGGGAGGCAGCAGUGGGGAAUUUUGGACAAUGGGCGAAAGCCUGAUCCAGCAAUGCCGCGUGAGUGAAGAAGGCCUUCGGGUUGUAAAGCUCUUUUGUCAGGGAAGAAACGGUGAGAGCUAAUAUCUCUUGCUAAUGACGGUACCUGAAGAAUAAGCACCGGCUAACUACGUGCCAGCAGCCGCGGUAAUACGUAGGGUGCAAGCGUUAAUCGGAAUUACUGGGCGUAAAGCGUGCGCAGGCGGUUUUGUAAGUCUGAUGUGAAAUCCCCGGGCUCAACCUGGGAAUUGCAUUGGAGACUGCAAGGCUAGAAUCUGGCAGAGGGGGGUAGAAUUCCACGUGUAGCAGUGAAAUGCGUAG
rnacentral:rRNA from 1 species